ensembl:lncRNA
UUUUUUUUUUGUCUUUUUAGGGCUGCACCCGGAGCAUAUGAAGGUUUUCCCAGGCUAGGGAUUGAAUCAGAGCUGCCGCUGUUGGCCUAACCACAGCCACAGCAAUAUAGGAUCUUAACCCACUGAGCAAGGCCAGGGAUUGAACCUGCAUCCUAAUGCAUCCCAGUCAGAUUUUUUACCACUGAGCCACAACAGGAACUCCUCCCAUUCAUAUUUUACCUAAUAGUUUUCACAUGUAAGUGCUAUAAUAUACUAUAUCUAAUGCCGAACUAACAACAGCUCUGUUAGACCAUUUCAGGUUUGGGCGUGAUCCCAGGAUCUGCAGCUCUCUUACUCUACCACCUUCCCAUCUUACACACACACACACACACACACACACACACACCCCAUCCAUUUGAACUGCAUACACGAGCUCAGCCCCACCAGGCUGAGCAUCCCCCAGGCUGGGAAAGAAGGGAUCAAAGGAGCUCCAGGCUCAAGUCAGUAUGGAGGCUGAUCUAACCCUGACCUUAUGCCUUAGUUCUCAUAGCCAGGUCUCUAAGAUAAGAUGAUUUUACUCAUAGGGCUAGUGACAGCUUCCCCUCUGGGUAACCUUUCUGGUGUUGGCAUCACUGUCUGACACUGGGGUUCUUUCUUGCUCCUUCCUAUUUCCCUUCUGGGAAUCAGUGCCCCAUCCCUGAAUUCCAGCAGAGCUUUUCUGUCUACCAACACAUUUCCUGAGGUCAACUCUGCCUGCCAGAGUUUGGAAAGCUCUGCUGCUCUGUACUUCCCAUUGUAAUGUCUGCCCCUGGUAAGAACAGGCGCCCUUCAGCUUCCAGCUGUUUGUCAUGACUGCCCCCUCGUGGUCAUCGCCACAAUCAUGCUCUCACUUUUGACCUCAGCUCUGCUUCUUUCCCACUCCUUGAGCCCCUGCCCCACUCCUUAGCGGACACCAAGUGCAGGGUCCUUGCCCUUUCUAGUCUUCUACAGGUAGCCAGACCAUGCCCUACCAUACCAGACCUUGGGCUGGGCUAUACAGCAAAACUCUUCUUACCCCCUGGUCCAAGGACUUCUCAAGUCCUGUAACUAGUUAAUAAAAGCAGCUAGGCUACCUUGGACUUGUGAACUUCAACUCAGAUAUAAAAAAUAAUUCAUGAUUAGAGAAGAAUUUUCUUUUGUUCCUUAAGGAGCAUGGCCAUUCCCAGUAGGUAUUUCCAUGGCUGGUCAAGAAAUGGGCCUCAUGAAACCAUCCUCGGCCUGACGAAACUCACACUAUCUACAGAUUGACAGAGACCACAAGCUAUAAACCAAGUGGCCAGGAUCCAUGAUGAUUAGAUCAGGGCACACCGAGAGAUCUGACCAGAUCUCACACACUUCCGUUCCCUGAGGUCUGCCAGGAUUCCUGAGGGGACAGGCUACACAUGUCCGCAGUACCCACCCGGCUCUCUCACCUCACGGCUCUCCCACCCCAGGGCACACAAGGCUGUAGAGCAAUGAAAAGCAUCAAUUCUGCCCAGUAUCGAGAAGCCUUUGUGUGGGGAACCAGCCAGCCCUCAAGAAAACCAUAGUUCCCCAGCCACCUUCCUUCUCUGUACCCAGAGGGCACUUCAGCGUACAUCAGCACACAGGCCAGGUCAAUGCCAAGGACAACUACCCAGGCUGAAGGUUUCCUUUUUUUUUUCUGUCCCCACUCUUUAGCACACUUUGAAGAUAAGAAGAGUGUCUCCUCAUCUGUCCCAACUCCUUGCCAUCAGCCAGAACAAAACCACUCAGCCGUUUCCUUGAAAACUGCACAGGUUGCAGAAAGGCCAAGUUCAGCAAAGGCGCCAGGGGACAUUAGUUGUCACGCCACCUCACAUGAUGUCUCAGGAAUCUGUAACCUAAUACAAACCCCCAUAAUCUCAACAUUUCAUCUUACUUAGCAAUGUUCAGUGUCAGAAAUGCGUGUACAGAUCACAGGGGAGCCCUGAGUACAAGCUGUUCCGACCGUAUCAGAGAAAUACCUCGGGGGGUAGGGGUGAGAAUGUCUGAUGAUUCAGAUAUAUUUUCAAAAAAAAAAUCCAGAGACCAGCACACAAAUGAAAUUACUCUGCACACCACACAAAAAAUAAAAAUGAAAAAGAAUGAGGUAUUUCACAUUCCCACUCCCGGAUAAGGUGCCCAUACUGGCAUCAAGCACACCAAGGCACUUUCCACUGCAGGCCUUCUGUUUGGUUCUAGAGAGAGGGUUUAAUGACAUUUGUAAGAAGAGCAACCACUAAACUCUUCAGCUUUGGUGAGCAGGUGUCACCAGGAUAGGAAAAUAAACAAUUAUGUCCCAAUGCAGUGAAGCUCUGAAAACAAAUGAAGAUGAAAACUGUGGCCGCAGUCCCUUCCCACCCCCGAUUCCCACCACAGCUGGGAAGUGCAAUUACUAAUGUCAUUCCUAUGGGGCAUCAGGGCCAUAGAACUCAAAACCUCUGGCCAAGAAAGAGUUACCAGACCCUUUUCAUCACCCCACCUGUCUCCUUGUAAUGCCCCCCACCUUGAGCAACCUGGCCUACUCCUUCUUGCCCCCUACUAGUGGCCCACUCCUCACCCUGCCCCUAUAUGAGCCUUAUAUGCCCCAACCAACUAGCGGGCAUAUCAGAAAACCUGUAUCAGAAAACCCUCUUUCCCCAACCAAUCAACAGGUCAGCAGGUGUAUCAUGAGACCUCUCCUCUCUCCCUGGGCUAUAAAAACAGAUAUGACUGAGCUCAGAGUCAGCUCUCCCUGAUCAGUAGGAAAUUGUCCUGCUGUGCUAGCAGCACCUCUUCUCUCAUCUCAAUAAACUCUUCUUUCUCUUCCCCUGCUAUGAGACCAGAAACUCUUCUUCCAACUUGCAUGCAUGGACCAUGCCAAUUCCCAGUGAGGAGGAUCUGAGGUUGGGGAUAACUAGUCCAGCUCAGGAUUCUAUUUUCCCAUUGGACUUGCCCUUCACUUUGGCACAGCCCAAAAGUUGUAAGUGAACCCCGUCUGAGCCAGCCACAUGUCCCAGGCAGCCGCUCAGUAUUCGCAUUCUCCAUCCAUUGUAAGACUCAAUGACUAAAUAAGGUAAAAUAGGAUUUAGAUAUGAUGUGCCCUUCAAUCUGGCCUGUUCCAAUAUGAACUUCAUUCCACAGCUCCAACAGUGAGUGGUAGGUAUAGAACUAUUUGAGUUUUAAAAUCCCAUGCUAACCUUUUUUAAGGUCAACCCCACUAGAGAAAUGUAAGAGUUUGCAAACUGAAGCUAUUAAGAACUUGAGAAAUUGUGAAAAGAAUGCUCACCCCAAGCUUGGGAAACAUGCUCGUGCCCAUAUUGCCAAGGGUCUCAGGCUGUGCCACCCAAAGUCCCAGGCCAAGGCUCAGACCAAGGCAAGGCCACAGGUGAAGCUGCAGCUCCACCUCCAGCUCUGGCUCCCAGAGGUGCCCAGGUCCCUGCAAAGAGUCCACAAUAGGAGUUC